CACGUAGUUAGCCGGCGCUUUUUCUGCAGGUACCGUCACUUUCGCUUCUUCCCUGCUAAAAGAGGUUUACAACCCGAAGGCCGUCGUCCCCCACGCGGCGUUGCUGCAUCAGGCUUGCGCCCAUUGUGCAAUAUUCCCCA
rnacentral:rRNA from 1 species